UACGUAGGGGGCUAGCGUUGUCCGGAAUCAUUGGGCGUAAAGAGCGCGUAGGCGGUCCGGUAAGUCCGCUGUGAAAUCCCGGGGCUUAACCCCGGGCGUGCAGUGGAUACGGGCUGGCUGGAGGCAGGCAGGGGAGAACGGAAUUCCUGGUGUAGCGGUGAAAUGCGCAGAUAUCAGGAGGAACACCGGUGGCGAAGGCGGUUCUCUGGGCCUGUACUGACGCUGAGGAGCGAAAGCGUGGGGAGCGAACAGG
rnacentral:rRNA from 1 species